GUGAGGAAUUUUCCGCAAUGGGCGAAAGCCUGACGGAGCAAUGCCGCGUGAAGGAUGAAGGCCUAUGGGUUGUAAACUUCUUUUCUCAGAAAAGAAUUAUGACGGUAUCUGAGGAAUAAGCAUCGGCUAACUCUGUGCCAGCAGCCGCGGUAAGACAGAGGAUGCAAGCGUUAUCCGGAAUGAUUGGGCGUAAAGCGUCUGUAGGUUGUUUAAAAAGUAUUCUGUCAAAGAUUAGGGCUUAACCCUAGAUAGGCAGAAUAAACUUUUAAGCUAGAGUUUGGUAGAGGCAGAGGGAAUUCCCGGUGGAGCGGUGAAAUGCGUAGAUAUCGGGAGGAACACCAAAGGCGAAGGCACUCUGCUGGGCCAAUACUAACACUGAGAGACGAAAGCGAGGGGAGCGAACAGGAUUAGAAACCCGUGUAGUCC
rnacentral:rRNA from 1 species